CUUUACAGUUAAGCCCUAAACUUCAUGCAACACCCACGUCGUCGUCGGAUAACUCACAAUUAGGAAAUUCAAUACCUCAAGGGAUUUUUUCAUGCCGGUGCCAUUUAGGCUAUGACGCGAGCAUUUCUUUUGCAGCGUUGGAUUUUCUUUUUAUAAGGUAA
rnacentral:sRNA from 1 species